CCUACGGGUGGCAGCAGUGAGGAAUAUUGGUCAAUGGGCGGGAGCCUGAACCAGCCAUGCCGCGUGAAGGCGAGUGCCCUACGGGCGUUAAACUUCUUUUGUGCGGGAGCAAUAAGGGCCACGUGUGGCCCGAUGAGAGUACCGCACGAAUAAGCAUCGGCUAACGCCGUGCCAGCCGCCGCGGUAAUACGGGGGAUGCGAGCGCUAUCCGGAUUUAUUGGGUUUAAAGGGUGCGUAGGCGGCGCUUCAGGUCAGCGGCGAAACACCGGGGCUCAACCCCGGGGCUGCCGUUGAAACCGGGGGGCGAGAGUACCGAUGCCGUCGGAGGAAUGGGUGGUGUAGCGGUGAAAUGCAUAGAUAUCACAAAGAACACCGAUUGCGAAGGCAUCUGACGAAUCGGAGAUUGACGCUGAUGCACGAAAGCGUGGGUAUCGAACAGGAUUAGAUACCCGGGUAGUC
rnacentral:rRNA from 1 species